UGGCAUGCUUUAAUGUUAUUUACUCUAAAACUCUUGUGGAAACUGUUACACAACUAAAGCCAUCCACCUGUUGCCUUGAUUCUUUACCUACCAACCUCUUUAAGAAUGUUUUUGACUGCCUAGCAAUAGACAUAUUGCAGAUAGUUAACAACUCUCUCCAGUCAGGCAACUUCCCAAAAGCCCUGAAAACUGCAGUUAUUAAACCCCUUUUAAAAAAGCGGAGCCUAGAUAACUCUAUUAUUAACAACUACAGACCAAUAUCAAAUCUACCCUUCAUAAGUAAAAUCAUUGAGAAAGUUGUCCUCCAGCAACUUAAUCACUUCCUGGCAUCAACUGGUUGUUAUGACACCUUCCAAUCAGGAUUUCGACCCCUGCACAGCACUGAGACCGCCCUCAUUAAAGUUGUAAACGACAUCCGUCUUAACACAGACUCUGGCAAAACCUCAAUACUAAUGCUACUAGACCUCAGUGCUGCAUUCGACACUGUAGACCAUACAAUACUUUUGGACAGGUUAGAAAACUGUGUGGGGCUUUCAGGCACAGUCUUAAAUUGGUUCAGAUCCUACCUACAAAAUAGGAACUACUUUGUUUCCAUUGGCGACUUUGUAUCAGAAUCAACCAACGUGAUGUGUGGAGUCCCACAAGGUUUGAUCUUAGGACCCUCUUUAUUCAACAUCUACAUGCUCCCACUAGGGCAAAUCAUGCAUAAUAACAAUAUUGACCAUCAUUGCUAUGCUGAUGACACGCAAAUCUAUGUAUCGCUAUCACCAAAUGACUAUCGGCCCAUAGAUCUGCUGUGCCAGUGCAUUGAGCAAGUGAAAGACUGGAUGUGCCGAAAUUUCCUUCAGCUAAAUGAGGAUAAAACAGAGAUAAUUGUAUUUGGUGCUAAAACGGAAAGGCUUAAAGUAACCCAACACCUUCACUCUCUGUCCCUGAAAACCUCAAUCAAAGCCAGAAAUCUAGGGGUUAUCAUGGAUUCUGAUUUACAUUUAGAAAGUCACAUCAAAUCAGUUACAAAAUCUGCAUAUUAUCACCUUAAAAAUGUAGCAAGACUUAGAGGGCUCACGUCCACCGAAGACUUACAAAAACUUGUACAUGCCUUUAUCACUAGUAAGCUUGAUUACUGCAAUGGUCUCCUUACAGGUCUCCCAAAACAAACUCUAAGGAAGCUUCAGCUUGUUCAGAAUGCUGCUGCUAGAGUUUUAACAAAGACCAAAAAAUUUGAACAUAUUACACCAAUUCUUAAAUCGUUACAUUGGCUUCCUGUAGGUCAGAGAAUUGAUUUUAAAAUCAUGUUGCUAACCUAUAAAUCCUAUAAAUGGUUUAGGCCCAAAAUAUUUAACUGAUAUGCUUCCACUACAUAAGCCUUCUAGAACACUAAGAUAUUCUGAGACCAAUCUGUUAAUUAUCCCCAGAGUAAACACGAAACAUGGGAAAGCAGGAUUUAGUUACUAUGCAACAAAUAGCUGGAAUAAACUCCCUGAGGAUUUAAGACUUGCCCCAACUCUGAGCACCUUUAAAACAAGAUUGAAGACUUUUAUGUUUGCUUUAGCUUUCUGCUAAAUCUUAAAUACUUGACCUUUAUUUUACUAAAAUGCCUUUUUAACUUUCCCUUUAUUUUCUAUUUUUACCAGAAAAAUACAUGAUCUGAUACCAGAGAGAAAGGUUGUAUAAGGGUUAGAGUCCUGAGUUUGUUUGUCCUUUUGGUCUGGGCUAGAGUCCUAGAAGCUGGGUUAGAGUCCUAGAAUUUGUUGAAUAAGGCCUUUGGUCUGGGCUAGAGUCCUAGAAGCUGGGUUAGAGUCCUAGAAUAAGAAUAAGGCCUUUGGUCUGGGCUAGAGUCCUAGAAGCUGGGUUAGAGUCCUAGAAUAUUUUCCUUUAGGUCGGGUUGUAGUCCCGACUUGGGUUCCAGAGAGACUGUUGAUCUGAUCUUAAAUACAUUGCACUUUCAAUUUUACUUACUCAAAAGCCUUUUUAACUUUCAAUUUAAUUUUCUCUUAAAUACAUUGCACUUUCUAUUUUACUCAUUUCUUGCAUAUGUUUUCUUUUACUUAUCUAUUAUUUUAUUUUAUUGUAUGACAAUGUUUAUAUGUGAAGCACUUUGAGUCUGCCUUGUGUAUGAAAAGUGCUACAUAAAUAAAGUUGCCUUGCCUUG